rnacentral:rRNA from 1 species
UCAUAAGUUUGACAAUAAGAGGAACCACUUAUAUGGUGGUGUCACAAAAUCGGAGGCCACGACUGUUUACUAAAAACACAAUUCAGAGCAAUGAUGAAAAUCAUAGUAUUCUGGAUGAAAUUUGCCCGAUGCCAUUAACAUAAAAGAGGUAAUGGGAAACUGUUACUAAUUGAAAGUCUGGUUAAUAGCGGUCUUAACUAUGAGGAUCCUAAGGUAGCAAAAUCAGUUGGCCAUUAAAUGUGGUCUGGUAUCAAUAGUGUAACGAUGGUCUCACUGUCUCUACAACUUGCUCAGUGAAAUUGAAUUAUCCGUGCAGAUGCGGAUUGCCUCCAGGUGGACGGG